CUCCUUCCGUAGUUCUCAUAUCUGGAAUUGCAGUUCCAUUGACUAUUCCCAGGUUUCUUCAAGGGUGGAUGAUUCUCCUUGCCAAGGUUGAACUUUGGCACUGAUCAAAUGGACAAAUUCUUGCCUGGUAAACAUUGCCAGAUGUGGCAGAAAAGGCUGGUACUCACCAAUAUUCAUGUUCUUUUCUUCCUCCUGGACAUGGAGCUCAGCUAGACUCCCAGACUCCCUUGAAGGAGCAAGAAGAAAGCAAGCACACGGAGCCAGGAAGAAAAGACCCUUCCUCCUGUAGCACCCUCGAGUGCCCUCUACUGACAAAGCUUAACAUUGUAUGUCCACUGACAAAGGAGAAAUGUUCACAGGGUCCAUCUUCAGCAUCACAAAGCUGGGCGAUGUGAAGGUGGUCACAAAGCACCGACAUCUACCUCAUGGUUAUGGUAGAGAUGAACCAAGAUGAAGAGUGGAAGGCUUUAGCCCAGGACAGCACUCCCAGAACACGAGUCAGGCAGCUCAGGUCCCUAUAGAACUGAAGAUGCUGCAGGAGAGGAGGAAUCAGUUCAUCAAGAACACAUCAUUCAAGGCAGAGUCAAGUUGGCGACAUGGGAAGAUGUGGAGUUCAUGUCUCCCCACGAUUAGGGCACCUGUCGGAUGCUGGUGGGGGGGACCUUGACACCCAAGGAGACGGAAGGAACACCCAAACGAACCGCUUGUGGGAUCUUGGUUCAUGAGCCAGGGGUCGGGCCGAAGCUCCUGUGGUGGGAGCUCUGAGUCUGAACCACUGGACUAACAGAGAACCUCAGACCCUAGGGAAUAUUCUUUGGAGUGAGGUCUCCCAGAGGUCCUCAUCUCAGCACCAAGACCCAGCUCUACCCAACAGCCUACAAACUCCAGUGUUGGAAAACUCAGGCCAAAGAGCCAGUAAAACAGGAACACAUCCCACCCAUCAAAAAAAAAAAAAAUUAGAUGGCAAAAAAAUAUGUCACAGAUGAAGGAGCAAGGUAAAAACCUACCAGACCAAAUAAAUGAAGAGGGGGACCUUCAAGAUGGCAGAGGAUUAAGACAUGGAGGUCACCUUACUCCCCACAAAUACAUCAAAAAUAUAUCUACAUGUGGAACAGCUCCUAUAAAACACCUACUGAAUGCUGGCAGAAGACCUCAGACUUCCCAAAGGAUGCCCUUAGGCAACCUACAUGCAGAGGUGUGGCCAAAUACAAAGCUCAACCCCAAGAGCUGUGUGAACAAAGAUGAGAAAGGGAAAUUUCUCCCAGCAGCCUCAGGAGCAGUGGAUUAAAUCUCCACAGUCAACUUGAUGCACCCUGCAUCUGUGGAAUACCUGAAUAGACAAUCAUCCCAAAACUGAGGUGGUGGACUUUGGGAGCAACUGUAGACUUGGGGUUUGCUUUCUGCAUCUAAUUUGUUUCUGGUUUUAUGUUUAUCUUAGUUUAGUAUUUAGAGCUUAUUAUCAUUGGUAGAUUUGUUUAUUGAUUUGGUUGUUUUCUUCCUUUUUUAUAUAUAUAUAUUUUUUUCCUUUUUCUCU